GGAUAGCUCAGUUGGUUAGAGCAUGAUGCUGAUGAUAUCAAGGUUGCAGGUUCAGUCCCUGUAUGCGACA